GGGGGUAUAGCUCAGUGGUUAGAGCACCCGCAUACGUAUCGGAAGGGGGUUCGACUCCCUCUGCCUCAA
rnacentral:tRNA from 1 species